ACUUUUUAACCCACAAAGUUGUCUUAUGUAACCAAGUAGAGGAAAUCCAACCCGUGUAACUCAGUUUCUUAUUUCUCCUGUGAAAUCGUGAAAGAUCGGAUACCCAAGCAAUUCGACAAGCUAGCAAAUCGAUCCAAGCAAUUUCAUACGAUCCCACCCAGUUUCGAUUCUGUUUGGGAUCAAGAUUGUUCAGUGUUGAAGAUUGUCAGAUUGAUUUUACAAGUUGAAACACGAUUUUAAUGUACGUUGGUUGUAGCCACAUGACUGCUAACUGCUGGCGUCUGUUGGCUCAAGUGAAGUUGGAAGAAUGACGGGUUAUUGCAUAAUUUGGGUUUCCUUGGCUGCCAUGCAUAGUAGUUCUACUGUACUGACAGCAUAACUUUGACUGCAGUACCCGUGACCCAAAAAUGUUCGGCCAUCUAAGCGUGAUCACCCUAUCUUGACAUUUUUCCAUC
rnacentral:lncRNA from 1 species